GACCCCAUACCAUACCAUACCAUACCAUUUCUCUACAUCUUACUCUGUUUCUUCUACUUUCUCGAAACUCCGUUACUGCUUUGCUUUGGUGAAGGUCUGUGCUUCUUCUUGGUCUCCUUCGGCUUUUUUCUUUACUUGUUGCAUGCUUGUUUGUUCCUCUGUUGAUCGGUGAAGUGUGAAUCGACGCCAUUUCGUUCUCAACUUGGUUUGAUGGAGUGCGUUUCUCUGUGAUCUCAAGGGGAAUCCGGCGAUGAUUGUGUUAAUGCGGUGCCUGAUGCUUGAUUCUGGUUUCGGUUUUGCGGUUUUGUUUCCUCGAAUUAUAUGAAAUGUUUGAUUGGAACGACGAAGAGCUAGCUAACAUAAUAUGGGGUGAAGGAGGUGAGAGUGAUGAUCAUAUUGUGCCUUAUCCAGAGAUAAACGAAGAUGUUAGCAACAACAAAGAAUUCAAUCAGGAAGCUUCUACGACUAAGCUCACGGAGUUGAAAAGACCAGAGGCUAAAACUGAUUUUUAUGAAAGAAAGCUUGGAAGCAGUUCCAACCUCGAUAAUAGUGUAGAAUUACCUGUCUCAGGAUAUGGAACACAUGCCUGGCCUGACUUGUCUUUGUCCAGUUCAGCUAAAAUUGAUCAGGGAUCCCUUGGUACUGAAGUAUCCAAAAAUUUAAGAGAACUUGGCAAAUUCAGUUCAAGAAUUGGAGAAUCUAAACAGCAUGAAAAGGAUGCUGAAAUUUUCCAAAGUGCUAAUGAAGGUAAAGAGCAAGGUGAUUUUGUUGAUUAUGAAUGGGCCAACAUAGGAAGUUUUGAUGACCUUGAUCGAAUUUUUAGCAAUGAUGAUCCUAUAUUCGGUCAUGUAAGUCUUGAUAAUUCUAAUGACCUUUGGUCCUCCAAAGAUGUGACCAACGAUCCAGCACCUUUACCAUUGGAUACACCAAGUUCGUCUGGUGCUUUGAGGAACGGAACUGAUCCUUUGGAAAUCAAAGAAGAGUAUGUUCAAUGUAAUGGUGACAAAUCGUUGGACCUCAGCUAUGAGAAGAUUGGGAUUCCUGCAUCCCAAGUUUUACAAAAUUCAUGCACAAUCACAGGUAAUGCGGGAAAUGAUGGAGUUAGAAGCAAGCCUACUGAAAAGGAACGGCAGGUUUUUAGGCAAAAGAAUCUUUUGAAAACUCGGAAAAAAUCACAGGUAAAACAGGAGGAGAAUAACUUGCAAGAUUUUUAUGGUAAUUGGUCUCCUUCAGCAGCACCGGCAAGACAAUUUGAGAAUGAAUUAUCACCAUCUGUCAUACAAUCUUCUCCCUCUCCAAUUCUUGGUCAACAAAAGCAGAUCCAAGGAGCUGAAACCUUAUUUCAGAAUAUUGUAAAUCCAUAUGUGGCUUCUUCUGUGUAUGAGAACCUUACUGGUACAUAUCCUGCUAUGCCAAUGCUGUCACAGACUUCAUCAGGUGAUCUUAGGCAGCAGCCUGUGCUUUCUGGGUACAAAGUGUCUCCUGGUACAGUGAAUUCUGUGAAAAAUACUGUGGACUCAGUCAAACCUCAAAUCAUGACUCCUCAGGAGAAAAUUGAAAAAUUGAGGAGGCGGCAGCAAAUGCAGGCAAUGAUUGCUAUUCAGAAACAACGGCAACAAUUGGGCCAUCAAGUCCCUAGUAAUAGCAAAUCAAGCACCCAGAAAUGCCCUCCAAAAAUCCCAAGUCAUCUCAGUGACGACGGGACUGAUGAAGAUCUAAGAAUUCUUCCUGCUCCAGAUCCACCUAUUGAACAAGAUGAUUCUAAUACAAUGUCAGUGGCCGUUGGAAAUGAUUUUGUUGAAGACACCAUAUUUUAUCAGCUUCAGGAUAUUAUAUCAAAGUUGGACAUCAAAAUAAGACUCUGCAUCAGAGAUAGUUUGAUCCGGUUAGCACAAAGUGCAACUCAAAGGCAUUAUGCUAGUGAUACUAACAGUACAAACAAAAGUAGCAGAGACGAACUUGAAUUUGUGGCAAGAGAAGAAAGCAACAAACAAAAUAGAUAUGCCAGGAUGCCAGAUGUUGAAACAGAAACGAAUCCCAUUGAUAGAACCGUAGCCCAUUUACUUUUUCAUAGUCCUGUGGAGCUAACCCAGAACUAUUCUGACAACCUUGAGUCACCUGUUUCUACUAAGGUGCAAUGCGAAAGCAAAGCAGCUAACCUGGUGAACUUUCCCAUGAGUUGCUUACCAGACGAGGACUCGAAAAACAAUCAACAACUUUCUCACCUUGGGCUGAAGAAUUCUUGGUUUGAUACCCAGUCUAUGGAUCAAAUUAGAAACAGUCCCUGCGUAGACACUUCUGAGAAUGCAUCCAACACGCAGGAACUUGAAGCCUCUCAAUGAAGAAGAAAGAGGGCUCUCCAGAUAUUUGAAGCCACUCAGAUCAUAAGCAAGCACAGUUAUCGCUGUAGAAUCCUGGGAACCAGUUUCAUGGUUGUUAUAUUAUUAUCGUUUCUUCUGUUUCAAACAUGACGUACUGUGUAUAUCAGUAUCUGACCAUACUUAAGGUCGCGAGUGCUAUGUUGUAUCGUUCAUAACUGCAACAAAAAUGCCUCGCACUCAGAUGUCAAAUUUAAGUCUUUGACUGACUGACUUAGACCAGACUUUAAAGUUUAUGUCAUAUUUCUGUUGACUGGCAUUCUUAUAUGGGACAGUUUACUCGGUUAGUCUCCCCAAUUCCCAUUGAUUGUAUUUCAAGUCGAUGCUUAUAUUUUGCCAUGCUUUUUGAAGGUAAAGUAGAUUGUUAGUGGCAUUUUGAUAGUGCACUCAAUACGUGCUGUAAACUAUUUUUGUCCUUGACUGCAGCUUGAGUGCAUGAUAUAAGCUAAAAAAAUCAUCUA